UACGAAGGGGGCUAGCGUUGCUCGGAAUUACUGGGCGUAAAGCGCACGUAGGCGGAUUGUUAAGUCGGGGGUGAAAUCCUGGAGCUCAACUCCAGAACUGCCUUCGAUACUGGCGAUCUCGAGUUCGGGAGAGGUGAGUGGAACUGCGAGUGUAGAGGUGAAAUUCGUAGAUAUUCGCAAGAACACCGGUGGCGAAGGCGGGUCUCUGGGCCGAUACUGACGCUGAGGAGCGAAAGCGUGGGGAGCGAACAGG
rnacentral:rRNA from 1 species